AUGAGGGAGAGCUUCAGUCUACUCAUGGCAUGGUCUGCUUCUGUAAUUCCUUCUGACUGAAGAUGCUGGCCAGAUCCUGGGAGGCCGGGGUCAGUAAAGCCUAUUCAGGAAGACUGCCCCUGUCGGAACUCCUGUGAUGGACAAGGGAACUUUUUAAGAGUAAAGAGCUUCGAGUGGAGACCAGUUCAGCACGCCUAGGGUGGACAAGGCCCUGGGCUCUAACCCGGUACCUUAGAAAAGUAAAUGGGACUGACCAGAAUCCUUUACCAACACUGAUUUACAUCCAUAGUGAUUUCUGUAGAACACUUCGGACAUCGUUUCUAUUCUUUUGCGUAGCCGUGAAAGACAGUUGUGAAACCAAGGAAGAAAGAUGAGUGUUAAACUUCAAUAUGGAAGCCAGUACAGUGCCAUCAAAGGAAUGGAAGACAUUCUGAGAAGGUCUGCUCUGCCAUAUGAAAACAUGUAGGCCAUUGUGUUCCUCGAAGGCCAGCUACUGAUCUGCCUUCCAAACUGAAUGGCAGAGAAACGUGCAACUUGGAGAAUGCUGCCCAGCGAAGCUCUUAAAGCUCGCUCUCAGAAUCCUGCACCCCUGGAGCUCGUGUUGCAUUGGAUCCGCAACUGUGACCUGAAAACUCUUCAGGCUUUAACAGAACAAGUAUGGGAAUUUGAUAUUCACGCUAGUUCGUUUCCUGCUUUGCCUGUCCCAGGUUCCUGUGGUGUAUGCUUCCUGCGGAUCACAUGUUCACCGUUCACAGAAACCUUGGUAGGGUGCUCUGAACUCUAGGAACAAUGUGGAUGCAUCAAAGAAAAUCCUGCAAACUAUACUUUCAAAAAUGAAGAUAUUUCCAUAUUUUUAAAAUAAGAACACUGGGACAAGUAACUUGUGAUUUCGUGUCUUCCAAUACUUUGUUGGUAUGUCGUGAUUCUGUAGUACUGUUUUAUGUUGACACCUAGAAAUAAUGCAUCAGUUUUACUCACAUUUUAUUGUCUUCCAUGACAAGAAUGUGCCUUCUAAAUGAGUGAUUUAGAAAUUGAAUUGUCAAUGAAACAGUGAUUUUAGGUAGAGGCUUUGGGGGUAGUGCUUUGGGGAGUGUCUGGGGAAUCAGACCCCAGUAAUAAUCAGGGCAUUUACUUUCUUUUUCUGCCUAUUUAUUCAUAAUGUUAGAACAUACCAAGAAUGUUCUCACUAUAUGUAGUUGACUGUUACUCAUGAUCUGUGAAAAAAGUAAAUCUCUGUUCUCUAUAAAAUCAUCCAGGGUCAAGCAUUCUGUUAUAGUAGCAGAAAAUAUUGUUCCAACCAAGUUUAAUGUCAGGAUUGUCACAUUUGAAUGGAGACACCCAAACAACAUUAUUAAAGUUAAAUGGUGGCUCAAGGAUCAAAUGUCAGAGGGCAUAGGCAAGAAGUAAACCCAUUCUCAGAGCAGACAAAAGAAAGAAUACAAAGGGAGAGAG